rnacentral:rRNA from 1 species
UACGAAGGACCCAAGCGUUAUCCGGAUUUAUUGGGUUUAAAGGGUGCGUAGGCGGGUUAUUAAGUCAGUGGUGAAAGCCUUCAGCUUAACUGAAGAAUUGCCAUUGAUACUGAUGAUCUUGAGUAUGAUUGAGGUUGGCGGAAUGUGUCAUGUAGCGGUGAAAUGCUUAGAUAUUCGGAAGAACACCAGUGGCGAAGGCGGCUCACUGGACUGGUAUUGACGCUGAGGUGCGAAAGCGUGGGGAGCAAACAGG